rnacentral:rRNA from 1 species
AAUAGAUACCCAGGUAGUCCACGCUGUAAACGAUGGAUACUAGGUGUAGGAGGUAUCGACCCCUUCUGUGCCGGAGUUAACACAAUAAGUAUCCCACCUGGGGAGUACGGCCGCAAGGUUGAAACUCAAAGGAGUUGACGGGGGCCCGCACAAGCAGUGGAGUAUGUGGUUUAAUUCGAAGCAACGCGAAGAACCUUACCAAGGCUUGACAUAUAGCGGAAUACGGCAGAGAUGUCGUAGUCCUUCGGGACUGCUAUACAGGUGGUGCAUGGUUGUCGUCAGCUCGUGUCGUGAGAUGUUGGGUUAAGUCCCGCAACGAGCGCAACCCCUGUUGUUAGUUGAUAACAUUAAGAUGAUCACUCUAGCGAGACUGCCGGUGAUAAAUCGGAGGAAGGUGGGGACGACGUCAAAUCAUCAUGCCCCUUAUGUCUUGGGCUACACACGUACUACAAUGGCUAUUACAGAGGGAAGCUAAGCUGUAAAGUGGAGCAAAUCCCCAAAAAUAGUCCCAGUUCAGAUUGUGGGCUGCAACCCG